rnacentral:rRNA from 1 species
CAGCACCUCAAGUGGUCAGGAUGAUUAUUGGGCCUAAAGCAUCCGUAGCCGGCGCUGUAAGUUUUCGGUUAAAUCUGUACGCUCAACGUACAGGCUGCCGGAAUACUGCAGCGCUAGGGAGUGGGAGAGGUAGACGGUACUCGGUAGGAAGGGGUAAAAUCCUUUGAUCUAUUGAUGACCACCUGUGGCGAAGGCGGUCUACCAGAACACGUCCGACGGUGAGGGAUGAAAGCUGGGGGAGCAAACCGGAUUAGAUACCCCAGUAGUCC